rnacentral:siRNA from 1 species
ACCUACCCUUGUGACACGGGC